GCGGGUGUAGUUCAAUGGUAGAACGAAAGCUUCCCAAGCUUUAGGCGCGAGUUCGAUUCUCGUCACCCGCU
rnacentral:tRNA from 2 species